AGAGUGAACGCUGGCGGCAGGCCUAACACAUGCAAGUCGAACGGCAGCACAGUAAGAGCUUGCUCUUAUGGGUGGCGAGUGGCGGACGGGUGAGGAAUACAUCGGAAUCUACCUAUUUGUGGGGGAUAACGUAGGGAAACUUACGCUAAUACCGCAUACGACCUACGGGUGAAAGCGGAGGACCUUCGGGCUUCGCGCAGAUAGAUGAGCCGAUGUCGGAUUAGCUAGUUGGUGGGUAAAGGCCCACCAAGGCGACGAUCCGUAGCUGGUCUGAGAGGAUGAUCAGCCACACUGGAACUGAGACACGGUCCAGACUCCUACGGGAGGCAGCAGUGGGGAAUAUUGGACAAUGGGCGCAAGCCUGAUCCAGCCAUGCCGCGUGAGUGAAGAAGGCCCUGGUUGUAAGCUCUUUGUUGGGAAGAAAAGCAAUCGGUUAAUACCGGUUGUUCUGACGGUACCAAAGAAUAAGCACCGGCUAACUUCGUAGCUAGCAGACCG
rnacentral:rRNA from 1 species